UAAAGAUUCAUCGCUGAUAGAUAGGCAUGCGUUCCAUUAGGCAGUUGGCGGGGUAACGGCCCACCAAACCGACGAUGGAUAGGGGUUCUGAGAGGAAGGUCCCCCACAUUGGUACUGAGACACGGACCAAACUCCUACGGGAGGCAGCAGUGAGGAAUAUUGGUCAAUGGGCGCGAGCCUGAACCAGCCAAGUCGCGUGAGGGAUGAAGGUUCUAUGGAUCGUAAACCUCUUUUAUAGGGGAAUAAAGUGUGGGACGUGUCCUAUUUUGUAUGUACCUUAUGAAUAAGGAUCGGCUAACUCCGUGCCAGCAGCCGCGGUAAUACGGAGGAUCCGAGCGUUAUCCGGAUUUAUUGGGUUUAAAGGGUGCGUAGGCGGCCUUUUAAGUCAGCGGUGAAAGUCUGUGGCUCAACCAUAGAAUUGCCGUUGAAACUGGGGGGCUUGAGUAUGUUUGAGGCAGGCGGAAUGCGUGGUGUAGCGGUGAAAUGCUUAGAUAUCACGCAGAACCCCGAUUGCGAAGGCAGCCUGCCAAGCCAUGACUGACGCUGAUGCACGAAAGCGUGGGGAUCAAACAGGAUUAGAUACCCUGGUAGUCCACGCAGUAAACGAUGAUCACUAGCUGUUUGCGAUACAGUGUAA
rnacentral:rRNA from 1 species